rnacentral:rRNA from 1 species
GCGGGACACGUGGAAUCCUGUCUGAACAUGGGGGGGACCAUCCUCCAAGGCUAAAUACGACCUACCGACCGAUAGUGAACCAGUACCGUGAGGGAAAGGCGAAAAGAACCCCGGAGAGGGGAGUGAAAUAGAACCUGAAACCGUAUGUGUACAAGCAGUGGGAGCCCGCAAGGGCGACCGCGUACCUUUUGUAUAAUGGGUCAGCGACUUAUGGUUCGUAGCAAGCUUAACCGCAUAGGGAAGGCGAAGGGAAACCGAGUCUGAAUAGGGCGUAAAGUUGCGAGCUGUAGACCCGAAACCGGACGAUCUAGCCAUGGCCAGGGUGAAGGUGCGGUAACACGUACUGGAGGCCCGAACCCACGUCUGUUGAAAAAGACGGGGAUGAGUUGUGGCUAGGAGUGAAAAGCUAAUCGAGUUCGGAGAUAGCUGGUUCUCCCCGAAAGCUAUUUAGGUAGCGCCUCGAGUAUUACUUCUGGGGGUAGAGCACUGUUAUGGCUAGGGGGGUCAUAGCGACUUACCAAACCAUGGCAAACUCCGAAUACCAGAACGUAUCAGCUCGGGAGACAC